rnacentral:sRNA from 1 species
AUGCCACAGAAAUGGAGACUAAAAUGCACAGGCACUGCAUGAGCAGUGGCAGUGCAAGUUUUCCAACAGUGCCCCAUCAAUGGGCCUCAGUCAUGAGCUGCAUGGAGCAGCUGUAUGAGGCAGAAUGAUAAUUCAGGUUCAAUGUCCAUUCAAUCCUUGGCCUUU